GGAGGAUCCAAUUCGAAAUAAAAAUUUAAAAAAUGAAAUAUUCUCGUAUAUGUACAUGGGAUAUGGGCGGCGAAGGGAUUUAUUUAAUUGAAUUUUGAAAAAUGCAGUGGCCUCGAUGAUGCAAAAGUCAAAGAGCGUAAUUCAAAACGAUGGACAAAGUUGUGCGUAGAUGAGAGUUUCACAAAAUUCAAUUUAUUUAAAUUUUACAACAUUUUUGUUUAUAUAUUUUUUGUAUUUUUGUUUUUGUAGUUUGGCACACAAAAAGUUGUACAGAAAAAGAGAGUAAAUGAAAUUUCUGGAAAAUAA